rnacentral:rRNA from 1 species
GACGAACGCUGGCGGCGUGCUUAACACAUGCAAGUCGAACGGAAAGGCCCUGCUUUUGUGGGGUGCUCGAGUGGCGAACGGGUGAGUAACACGUGAGUAACCUGCCCUUGACUUUGGGAUAACUUCAGGAAACUGGGGCUAAUACCGGAUAGGAGCUCCUGCUGCAUGGUGGGGGUGGGAAAGUUUCGGCGGUUGGGGAUGGACUCGCGGCUUAUCAGCUUGUUGGUGGGGUAGUGGCUUACCAAGGCUUUGACGGGUAGCCGGCCUGAGAGGGUGACCGGCCACCUUGGGACUGAGAUACGGCCCAGACUCCUACGGGAGGCAGCAGUGGGGAGUAUUGCACAAUGGGCGGAAGCCUGAUGCAGCAACGCCGCGUGCGGGAUGACGGCCUUCGGGUUGUAAACCGCUUUCGCCUGUGACGAAGCGUGAGUGACGGUAAUGGGUAAAGAAGCACCGGCUAACUACGUG